CUUGAAUAUGGAAUCAGGUUCUUUCCACGAUCUCUCCCUUCCUCCACUACCUACUCAAAGUUGGGGGUCUUUUUUCCUGAAUAUUUUUAACAUCUAGGAUUACAGCUGAGCCUUUGGGGGAAGAGGCUGUACGUUAAAGUUACUUAAAUGCACUUGGGAAGGAAAAAUAGUCUCUUUUCCCCCUACUUAAUUUUUUUUUUUUUUUUACCAUUUUCUUGCCACCUCAUUGAACUGAGCACCAUUAUUCCAUCCUUUGACUAUUACUUUCAAGUUUAAUGUUUCUGUAGGUGGUAUUCCAGUAAGUAUUUGGCUUCCACAUAAGCAAAAUGGAACCAACCUUCCUCCCUGGAACCUGCUUAUAUUAUACCACCUGGCUAUCCAGUUCCUAAAACCCGGAAACCUAGGGAGAAAGAUGAAACACUUAGUUGUCUCUUACUACCUAAAUCCAAAAGAACACCAAGAAAAAUUCUACUGCCAAAUAUCUUCUCAAUAUGAAUAUUUUCUUUUAUUACUACCAUUAACAGCAUAGCCACUUCUCACCUGGACUCAUAAGCUACCUCCCAACUCAUGGCCUCAUGAAUACCUAGUGGUACAGACAGAGGAGAAGUAAAUACAUCAGUUCAUUUUUAGACAGUAAUGAGAGCUAUGCAGGAAAUGCACCAGAAUCAGAGCCUGCCACUUUGAGGCAGUGGAAUGAGCUGAGAUCUGACUGCAGAGAAGGAAUAUUCAUUGAUAAUGCAGAGGAAGAAAAGUCCAAGCCAGAGCCCAAGCUGUUGGGCAUCCCUGUGAUAGAAACAACACUCACGUAUUCAAAAGAGCAGACUGCAGUGUGGCUGGAUGCUGGUGAUUUUGGAGUAAAGGUGCCUAACAUGAGCUAUCUGCUGUUGGCCGCGUUUCCCUGGAGAAGAUUUGCUAAUACAUCGCAUAAGCUACAGUACGGACCACAAGUGUAAGUGCACUUGGAAAUCAACUGAUGAUUUUAAGCGAGGAAGCAGCCUGAUUAGAUUUUUGUUUUCAGAGAAUCUGCCUUUUGGAGGGUGGGUUGGACGAUAGCUGUGAAUGAACUUCAAGGACAACAGAAAGCUGUUUUAAUUUGGAUAGGAGCUGCAAUAACGACCCAUCGCCUAGAGAAUGAAGCUAAACUUCCAUUCAUGACACUUUAAGCCCCCGUAUUCAGACCCCUGUUGCUUUGUCAUGCUCAUUUUUGACUAUGCUUUGAUGUUCUAGACCCAAUGGCGGGUCAGCACACGUCUUGAACCCAUCCUGAGUGAUUCCCAUCCAGCCUUGAACUUACAGAAUUCCCAUCUCCCUGAUGGUAUGUUCCCUUCUUCAAAUCCCAUCUCUCACAGCAACCAAACCAUGCAACCCUUCUUCCUCUGCAGCAAUAAACUGAAUCUCUUUAUUUAAAAAGCA
rnacentral:lncRNA from 1 species